GCGAGAGUGGCGGAAUUGGUAGACGCACUGGUUUUAGGUACCAGCGUCGUAAGACGUAAGAGUUCGAGUCUCUUCUUUCGCACCA
rnacentral:tRNA from 1 species